UACGUAGGGUGCGAGCGUUGUCCGGAAUUACUGGGCGUAAAGAGCUCGUAGGUGGUUUGUCGCGUUGUUCGUGAAAACUCACAGCUCAACUGUGGGCGUGCGGGCGAUACGGGCAGACUGGAGUACUGCAGGGGAGACUGGAAUUCCUGGUGUAGCGGUGAAAUGCGUAGAUAUCAGGAGGAACACCGGUGGCGAAGGCGGCUUUCUGGACAGAUACCGACGCUGAGGCACGAAAGCUAGGGGAGCAAACAGG
rnacentral:rRNA from 1 species